UAUAAAUGGACCCGAAGCACCUUUUCCAUUAUUGAGUAACAUGAGAAGCAUGAAAUAUUUGAUGUUAAGGAGUUGCAACAUCAAUGGAACUUUACCUGAGUAUCUUGGUCAAAUGACACAGAUGAAAACCUUAGACCUUAGCUUUAACAAGUUGAUUGGGGAA